CAGCAGCCGCGGGAAUACGGAGGGAGCUAGCGUUGUUCGGAAUUACUGGGCGUAAAGCGCGCGUAGGCGGUUACUCAAGUCAGAGGUGAAAGCCCGGGGCUCAACCCCGGAACUGCCUUUGAAACUAGGUGACUAGAAUCUUGGAGAGGUCAGUGGAAUUCCGAGUGUAGAGGUGAAAUUCGUAGAUAUUCGGAAGAACACCAGUGGCGAAGGCGACUGACUGGACAAGUAUUGACGCUGAGGUGCGAAAGCGUGGGGAGCAAACAGGAUUAGAUACCCCUGUAGUCCAUGUCUCUUAUAA
rnacentral:rRNA from 1 species